AUGAACGCUGGCGGCGUGCCUAAUACAUGCAAGUCGAGCGAACAGAUGAGGAGCUUGCUCCUCUGACGUUAGCGUCGGACGGGUGAGUAACACGUGGAUAACCUACCUAUAAGACUGGGAUAACUUCGGGAAACCGGAGCUAAUACCGGAUAAUAUAUUGAACCGCAUGGUUCAAUAGUGAAAGACGGUUUUGCUGUCACUUAUAGAUGGAUCCGCGCCGCAUUAGCUAGUUGGUAAGGUAACGGCUUACCAAGGCAACGAUGCGUAGCCGACCUGAGAGGGUGAUCGGCCACACUGGAACUGAGACACGGUCCAGACUCCUACGGGAGGCAGCAGUAGGGAAUCUUCCGCAAAGGGCGAAAGCCUGACGGAGCAACGCCGCGUGAGUGAUGAAGGUCUUCGGAUCGUAAAACUCUGUUAUUAGGGAAGAACAAAUGUGUAAGUAACUAUGCACGUCUUGACGGUACCUAAUCAGAAAGCCACGGCUAACUACGUG
rnacentral:rRNA from 1 species